rnacentral:misc_RNA from 1 species
UACAGAGGGUGCAAGCGUUAAUCGGAUUGACUGGGCGUAAAGGGCGUGUAGGUGGAUAUUUAAGUUAACUGUAAAAGCCCCGGGCUUAACCUGGGAAUGACGGUUAAUACUGGAUAUCUAGAGUCUAAGAGAGGGAAGUGGAAUUUCCGGUGUAGCGGUGAAAUGCGUAGAGAUCGGAAAGAACACCAGUGGCGAAGGCGGCUUCCUGGCUUAAGACUGACACUGAGGCGCGAAGGCGUGGGGAGCAAACAGG